AAAAACGACUCUCGGCAACGGAUAUCUUGGCUCUUGCAUCGAUGAAGAACGUAGCGAAAUGUGAUACUUGGUGUGAAUUGCAGAAUCCCGUGAACCAUCGAGUCUUUGAACGCAAGUUGCGCCCGAAGCCUUCUGGCCGAGGGCACGUCUGCCUGG
rnacentral:rRNA from 1 species